AGAAGCAAGAAAACUUAAAGUUACAAAACAAAGAAAUAUAAAACAAUUAAACUCUUCUGGUUUUUUAGAUGUGAAUAAAAAGAUGAAAAUUCCAGCGACACAGAUGAUGGAUGUCUCCCAGGUAUAACAAUUUUUACAGAGUAUUCUAGUACUACCUGGAUUCUUAUACUUCCUGAAUUUUACAGUAUUUCUCUUUCUGAAAUUCUUAGGCAAAAGCAGCAAUAUCAGCACCUGAGGAUGACCUGAAAAAAUUACAGCAUAAACUGGGAUCCACGAUGACUACUAAAUGUAACCUGGAGGAAUAUCAAAAGCAACUGGAAGAUGAAUGCAAUACUUUGAGGUCUAUGAAACAUGCAAAGGAAGAGGAAUGCGAAACCCUAAGCAUGAAAUUAGAGAUUUUUAAUGAAAUCUAUGCACAGAGAAAGAUGUCUGCAGAAAAUGUUGUGUAUUUAUUUCUCAUCUUAGGAAACUUGAGCAUGAAGAGCACAAGCAGCAGAAAACCCAGAAGGAGCUGUCAGCUGCAGAGGAAAAAAACAGUUUGGUUAUGGAGGAAGUAGAGAAUUAUAAGUGAGCUCACCUUCUCACCACCAGCAGUUUGUGUAUCCAAUGUUGAAUGUUUUUGAACUAUUGUACAUUAUUUAGACCCAAGUAGUUCAGAAACAUAAAUAAAUGAUGAGAAGAAAUUGGGAAUUUAUACAAGGGAAAAAAGUUACUUUUAUGAAAGAAGAAAAAUGUUUAGUUACUAAUAAUUUAUUGAUUCCCAGUGCUAGCCAGAA
rnacentral:lncRNA from 1 species